CCCGUCCUCCCCCGGCACCCCACCCCAGGAUACCCCGUUGCCUUGGAGACCACAAGUUUUCAACCUCCUUGUCUGAAGGAAUGGUAAUUCGUUAUAUGUCUGACACGGGGGUGAAGGGUGCGGAGAGGGAGACCCGGGCCGGACGGUCGCAAGGGGAGGUGGUGGACAACCAAAUAACGAACAAAAAUAUGUUUCACGCAUGAGAAGCCAUCAAAGGUGGUAGUGAGGAAAAAGGUCAUUGCAGAUGGCAUUUAUGAAAUCGAAAAACAGAGGCGGAAUUUUCAAAAGCAAGCGGCUGCCAAAAUAUGGCUGAGCAUCACCACCCCUCCCCCAGACAGCUCAUUAGGAGGGUUUUGGAGAGAGCGUCAACAGCGGUCUGGGGCGGCUGUGUUAUCUUCGGAGGAGGGGCGGUCCCCUCGUCCCCAGGAGGGGGUACACCAGGAGGUCUCCGUCCCACGGGUUCUGCUCAGAGCCAGCAGUUUCUGAAAACGUGGACCAGAUAAGGACCCACCCACACCCCUGGUGUUCCUGGGGUGAUGUGCCUGUCCCUUAGUGUCAAUCCCCGGGAGCCUAAGGCAGGAAGGAAGGAUCUCUAGAUGAGAUUGAGUGCUUGUGUGUGUAUACGUGUGUUUAUGUAUGUGUGUGCUUGUGUGUAUUUGCGUAUGUGUGUUUGUGUAUGUGUGUGCUUGUGUUUGUGUAUACAUGUACAUGCUUGUGUAUGUCUAUGUAUGUGUGUGUUUGUGUCUGUCAUGUGUGCUUAUGUGUGUUUGUGUGUCUGUGUCUGUGUUAUGUGUAUGUGUGUGUGUGUGGGUCUGUGUAUGGUUGUGUGUGUUUGUGUAUGUGUGUGCUUGUGUUUGUGUAUGCAUGUGUGCUUAUGUGUGUUUGUGUGUCUGUGUCUGUGUUAUGUGUAUGUGUGUGUGUGUGGGUCUGUGUGUGGUUGUGUGUGUUUGUGUAUGUGUGUGCUUGUGUUUGUGUAUGCAUGUGUGCUUAUGUGUAUUUGCAUAUGUGUGUGCUUGUGUAUGUUGUGUGUGCUCAUGUGUCUGUGUAUGUGCUAUGUACGUGUGUGUUUGUGUGUGUCUGUGUGUGUUUCAAUUAUCCAUACAUUCCGUGUCUAUGUUGAUGAUAGUCACAAGGGACUAUUCCAACCCCUGACUCCGUGGGACAGUUUAAGGACAACAUGCAGAUUCCCCAGGGCUCACCAUCUCCUUUGCCUUCUAGACUCUAUGCUAUGCUAUGCUAAGUUGCUUCAGUCGUGUCCGACUCUUAGCAGCCCCAUGGAUUGCAGCCUACCAGGCUCCUCCAUCCAUGGGACUUUCCAGGCAAGAGUGCUGGAGUGGGGUGCCAUGGCCUUCUCCAGUUUUACUCCAGAGUAUUUCUCCUCUCUCCACAGGCUGUUAACAUGCGGCUAUUUGCGGUCUUCCCUUAUGUUUUUUCGAUGUCAGUUUUCUUGUCGGAGGCAUCCUUUGAGUCGGGAACUCCAGAUUUGCAUUUUGGAAUAUUGGUUGCCUCUUAGUCCCUGACAAGUGUCUGAAUCUAUAGUCAUACGGUUACAAGGAAAAUAAGCAAAUGAUGAAAAGAGGUGCUAAAGACAUACCUGCUGGGCAAGAAGGGGAGAGUCUAGAGACUCGUUUCAGGAAGAGAUUCUUCUAGAUGUGCCUGUGUGAUGAGACAGGCGGAUGUUUUUCCUGUAAGUCUGGAAUACCCUAGCACUUCAAUAAAAGCUGGC
ensembl:lncRNA